rnacentral:tRNA from 1 species
GGCGCAUUCGUCUAGAGGUUAGGACGCCGCCCUCUCACGGCGGUAACACGGGUUCGAGUCCCGUAUGCGCUA